GAUGAACGCUGGCGGCGUGCUUAACACAUGCAAGUCGAACGGUGAACACGGAGCUUGCUCUGUGGGAUCAGUGGCGAACGGGUGAGUAACACGUGAGCAACCUGCCCCUGACUCUGGGAUAAGCGCUGGAAACGGCGUCUAAUACUGGAUAUGUGACGUGACCGCAUGGUCUGCGUUUGGAAAGAUUUUUCGGUUGGGGAUGGGCUCGCGGCCUAUCAGCUUGUUGGUGAGGUAAUGGCUCACCAAGGCGUCGACGGGUAGCCGGCCUGAGAGGGUGACCGGCCACACGGGGACUGAGACACGGCCCAGACUCCAACGGGAGGCAGCAGUGGGGAAUAUUGCACAAUGGGCGCAAGCCUGAUGCAGCAACGCCGCGUGAGGGAUGACGGCCUUCGGGUUGUAAACCUCUUUUAGCAGGGAAGAAGCGAAAGUGACGGUACCUGCAGAAAAAGCGCCGGCUAACUACGUG
rnacentral:rRNA from 1 species